rnacentral:rRNA from 1 species
AACCUACGGGACGCAGCAGUAGGGAAUUUUCGUCAAUGGGCGCAAGCCUGAACGAGCGAUGCCGCGUGAGUGAAGAAGGCCUUCGGGUCGUAAAGCUCUGUUGCGGGGGAAAAAAGGCAGCAUCAGGAAAUGGGUGCUGACUGAUGGUGCCCCGCCAGAAAGUCACGGCUAACUACGUGCCAGCAGCCGCGGUAAUACGUAGGUGGCAAGCGUUGUCCGGAUUUAUUGGGCGUAAAGCGAGUGCAGGCGGUUCAAUAAAGCUGAUGUGAAAGCCUUCGGCUCCACCGGAGAAUUGCA